AUUGCCCUAGUAACGGCGAGUGAAGCGGCAACAGCUCAAAUUUGAAAUCUGGCCUCCUUUGGGGGUCCGAGUUGUAAUUUGCAGAGGGUGCUUUGGCGUCGGCAGCGGUCUAAGUUCCUUGGAACAGGACAUCACAGAGGGUGAGAAUCCCGUACGUGGUCGCCUGCCUUCGCCGUGUAAAGCCCCUUCGACGAGUCGAGUUGUUUGGGAAUGCAGCUCUAAAUGGGAGGUAAAUUUCUUCUAAAGCUAAAUACCGGCCAGAGACCGAUAGCGCACAAGUAGAGUGAUCGAAAGAUGAAAAGCACUUUGGAAAGAGAGUCAAACAGCACGUGAAAUUGUUGAAAGGGAAGCGCUUGCAGCCAGACUUGCUCGUAGUUGCUCAUCCGGGUCCGCCCGGAGCACUCUUCUGCGAGCAGGCCAGCAUCAGUUUGGGCGACCGGAUAAAGGCCUCUGUCAUGUACCUUCCUUCGGGAAGGCCUUAUAGGGGAGGCGAAAUGCGGCCAGCCCGGACUGAGGUCCGCGCAUCUGCUAGGAUGCUGGCGUAAUGGCUGUAAGCGGCCCGUCUUGAAACACGGACCAAGGAGUCUAACAUCUAUGCGAGUGUUUGGGUGUCAAGCCCGGGCGCGUAAUGAAAGUGAACGGAGGUGGGAACCCUCUUCGGGGGGUGCACCAUCGACCGAUCCUGAUGUCUUCGGAUGGAUUUGAGUAAGAGCAUAGCUGUUGGGACCCGAAAGAUGGUGAACUAUGCUUGAAUAGGGUGAAGCCAGAGGAAACUCUGGUGGAGGCUCGCAGCGGUUCUGACGUGCAAAUCGAUCGUCAAAUUUGGGCAUAGGGGCGAAAGACUAAUCGAACUAUCUAGUAGCUGGUUCCUGCCGAAGU
rnacentral:rRNA from 1 species